UGGACCUUGAUUCGGGCAGACCCAUCUUUCUCAUGAUUUUCAUGACCAGAUCAUAACAUCUCAGCAAACACAUUUGAACAGAGGCAAUAACAGUGCAAAAAAUGAACGUUCAAAAGGUGUUCAGCUCCAAAUCAGUUUAAAUUUUUGAACAAGCUGCAUAGGGAAUAAAACUGGCUAACAGUAUGGCACAUAAUUUUAUAGACAGGGUCUUUAAGUUUUCAAUCCAUUUCUAAAGAAUUAAUAUAAACUUCACUCAUAGAUAUAUAUCUAGUCCUAACACUUAAGCAGCUAAAAAGCUCUUUUUUCCUUGAAUUGAAACUCUUACAGAAAUGUGAUCUUUUUUUAGAUUUCACAGUCUGCAUCAACUUUGCUUUUAACCUGCUUUCUAGAGUGGGACUCCUUCCUUCUGACUGCUGUUAGAGAUGCAAAAGAUUGUUCUGCAGUGUCAAUAAGAGCAGAAGGAAGUAGAGGAGAUUCUGCAAAGUCUUGUGGUUUUUCUUUUCAUUCUGCAGAUGAAGAAUGAACAAAACCAACUUUAAAGGAUGGUACACAUAAAUAGUAUGUCCACUGUGGCACCUUGAAAUGUACAACAGAUAUUUGAACCAGACAUCUCUCCUGAAAUACACUGGAACCUAACCAGACCAUUUAUCUAUUAGACAUGGAGCAAAGGAUGACAGCUGCAGGUUUUGGAGCAGUUGUUUUCUUUCUUCAAUCUUUUGUGUUAUGCAAAUUUAAAAAAAAAUAAAAAUCUGACUGCCAUAGUAGACCA
rnacentral:lncRNA from 1 species